GAUGAACGCUGGCGGCGUGCCUAAUACAUGCAAGUCGAGCGAACAGACGAGGAGCUUGCUCCUCUGACGUUAGCGGCGGACGGGUGAGUAACACGUGGAUAACCUACCUAUAAGACUGGGAUAACUUCGGGAAACCGGAGCUAAUACCGGAUAAUAUAUUGAACCGCAUGGUUCAAUAGUGAAAGACGGUUUUGCUGUCACUUAUAGAUGGAUCCGCGCCGCAUUAGCUAGUUGGUAAGGUAACGGCUUACCAAGGCAACGAUGCGUAGCCGACCUGAGAGGGUGAUCGGCCACACUGGAACUGAGACACGGUCCAGACUCCUACGGGAGGCAGCAGUAGGGAAUCUUCCGCAAUGGGCGAAAGCUUGACGGAGCAACGCCGCGUGAGUGAUGAAGGUCUUCGGAUCGUAAAACUCUUUUAUUAGGGAAGAACAAAUGUGUAAGUAACUAUGCACGUCUUGACGGUACCUAAUCAGAAAGCCACGGCUAACUACGUG
rnacentral:rRNA from 1 species